CGGCGAGCGGCGGACGGCUGAGUAACGCGUGGGAACGUGCCCCAAAGUGAGGAAUAACUGCCCGAAAGGGUAGCUAAUACCUCAUAUGGUCUUCGGAUUAAAGGAUUUAUCCGCUUUGGGAGCGGCCCGCGUUGGAUUAGGUUGUUGGUGAGGUAAUGGCUCACCAAGCCGACGAUCCAUAGCUGGUCUGAGAGGAUGAUCAGCCAGACUGGGACUGAGACACGGCCCAG
rnacentral:rRNA from 1 species